GUCACAACGGCGGCCCCCUUGAUGUAGCUUGAUGAUGUCGCUGAGUCCAUUCUCUGCUUUCACAAAAAUUGUGAGAAUAAUUUUAAGCCAGAUGUUUGUGACAACGUUGAGUGUCAGUUUGAUACUGGAAUACAUGAUUGUAAAUUUGAGGAUUUUUAAGGAAUUUUUUAUUGAUCGAUCAAGUGCUUAAUCGAUGGUGACUGAUAAUAUUUACAUCGAUAAUAAAAGUAGGUCACAGGUCAUAGUUGCAUAAAGGAAGAUUCGAGGGCAGGAUAUCUUGGUUAUGUCUACCAAGGUUGUAUAUCGUCGACUGACCUACCGCAAUCUGUAAUUAAUGAUUACGCAGAUCUAUCAGAGGAGCAAGGAUAUUACUAUUAAAGAAUAGGUUCAGUUUUACUGGGAUGUCUAUGUUAUUAUGGAAAAAUGUAUAAGACUAAUUUAUUUGUCUCGUCGUUAUGAAUAAUUAUUGUUGGAAAGAUUUGUAAGAAAAUUAAUAUUUUUUUAGAAAAAUAGAUUUUAAAUGGUUAUUUUAAUUUGCUGGUAAUUACAAAGCUCAAAGUUUUUAGUCGUUAGAGCGCCUUUCGGAUCAUUAAAACAGAUUUACAAUAUGUUAUGUUUGAAUUUUUUUGUAGUUUCAUCAGAUUCGAGGAAUAAAGACAACGCGUCUUUUUGGAGUAAAUAUUUACAGGUGACAAGCCAUAACAAUGUUCAUUAGCUUGCGUCACUCGUUAACCAUUAUCGUCAAAUUUUAUCACAUUUUUGUCUAUCGAGGAUACAAAGUUUCGCCCUCUGACCUGUAGUACCCUGGAGUCUAAUUAAGCUGAAAUAAACGAUAAGAAUUUC